rnacentral:rRNA from 1 species
AGAGUUUGAUCCUGGCUCAGGAUGAACGCUAGCUACAGGCUUAACACAUGCAAGUCGAGGGGCAGCAUGGACCCAGCUUUGCUGGGUUUGAUGGCGACCGGCGCACGGGUGAGUAACGCGUAUCCAACCUGCCCUUUACUCCGGGAUAGUCUCCUGAAAGGGAGUUUAAUACCGGAUGUGUUUGUCUUUCCGCAUGGGAGCGACAAAUAAAGAUUAAUUGGUAAAGGAUGGGGAUGCGUCCCAUUAGCUUGUUGGCGGGGUAACGGCCCACCAAGGCGACGAUGGGUAGGGGUUCUGAGAGGAAGGUCCCCCACAUUGGAACUGAGACACGGUCCAAACUCCUACGGGAGGCAGCAGUGAGGAAUAUUGGUCAAUGGGCGGGAGCCUGAACCAGCCAAGUAGCGUGAAGGACGACGGCCCUACGGGUUGUAAACUUCUUUUAUAAGGGAAUAAAGUUCGCCACGUGUGGUGUUUUGUAUGUACCUUAUGAAUAAGCAUCGGCUAAUUCCGUGCCAGCAGCCGCGGUAAUACGGAAGAUGCGAGCGUUAUCCGGAUUUAUUGGGUUUAAAGGGAGCGUAGGCGGGCUUUUAAGUCAGCGGUCAAAUGUCGUGGCUCAACCAUGUCAAGCCGUUGAAACUGUAAGCCUUGAGUCUGCACAGGGCACAUGGAAUUCGUGGUGUAGCGGUGAAAUGCUUAGAUAUCACGAAGAACUCCGAUCGCGAAGGCAUUGUGCCGGGGCAUAACUGACGCUGAGGCUCGAAAGUGCGGGUAUCAAACAGGAUUAGAUACCCUGGUAGUCCGCACGGUAAACGAUGAAUGCUCGCUAUGGGCGAUAUAUUGUCCG